rnacentral:rRNA from 1 species
UAACUUACAUCUACAACGCCGGGGAAUUACGAGCUACGCUUAAAACCCAAAGGAUUUGACGGUGUCCCACCCCCCUAGAGGAGCCUGUUCUAUAAUCGAUAAUACCCGCUAUACCCAACCACCUCUCGCUAUUCAGUCUGUAUACCUCCGUCGAAAGCUUACCAUGUGAACGCCUACAGUAAGUACAAUGGCUACCAACGUCAACACGUCAGGUCAAGGUGCAGCUUAAGUGGUGGAAAGUAAUUGGCUACAAUUUCUAACCUAGAACAAACGGAAGGCUAUGUGAAACCAUAGUUCUGAAGGCGGAUUUAGUAGUAAAAAGAAAAUAGAGCGUUCUUUUUAACCCGGCUCUGGGACGCGUACACACCGCCCGUCAC